rnacentral:rRNA from 1 species
GCUUAUCACCAUUCCAGAUUGAAUAUACCCGAUCUCGUCUGAUCUCGGAAGUCAAGCAAUCUCGGGCUUGGUUAGUACUUAGAUGGGUGACCGCUUGGGAAUGCCAAGG